rnacentral:rRNA from 1 species
ACUGAGUUUGUAUCCUGGCUCAGAUUGAACGCUGGCGGCAUGCCUUACACAUGCAAGUCGAACGGCAGCACGGGUGCUUGCACCUGGUGCGAGUGGCGAACGGGUGAGUAAUACAUCGGAACGUACCUUAUCGUGGGGGAUAACGGCAGCGAAAGUUGCGCUAAUACCGCAUACGCCCUGAGGGGGAAAGCGGGGGACCUAAGGCCUCGCGCGAUUAGAGCGGCCGAUGUCUGAUUAGCUUGUUGGUGAGGUAAAAGCUCACCAAGGCGAUGAUCAGUAGCUGGUCUGAGAGGACGAUCAGCCACACUGGGACUGAGACACGGACCAGACUCCGUACGGGA